rnacentral:tRNA from 1 species
UGGCUGAGCGGUAAAGCGCUUGGCUUCCGAACCGGAGUCCUGGGUUCGAAUCCCGG